rnacentral:rRNA from 1 species
CCCUUAGAUGUUCUGGGCCGCACGCGCGCUACACUGGUGCAUUCAACGAGUCCAACCUUGACCGAGAGGUCCGGGUAAUCUUUGAAACUGCAUCGUGAUGGGACUAGAUUAUUGCAAUUAUUAAUCUUCAACGAGGAAUGCCUAGUAAGCGUGAUUCAUCAAAUCGCGUUGAUUACGUCCCUGCCCUUUGUACACACCGCCCGUCGCUCCUACCGAUUGAGUGUGUUGGUGAGGAGUUUGGAUUGGCCUCGGAAGGUGGUUCGCCACCGUCCGUAGCUGAGAAGUUCUCCAAACCGCCCCACUUAGAGGAAGGAGAAGUCGUAACA